CACGUAGGGGACGAGCGUUGUCCGGAUUCAUUGGGCGUAAAGCGCGCGUAGGCGGCUCGGAAAGUCGGGGGUGAAAUCCCGAGGCUCAACCUCGGAACUGCCUUCGAUACUGGAAGUCUUGAGUCCGGGAGAGGUGAGUGGAACUCCGAGUGUAGAGGUGAAAUUCGUAGAUAUUCGGAAGAACACCGGUGGCGAAGGCGGCCCACUGGCUCGAUACUGACGCUGAGGUGCGAAAGCGUGGGGAGCAAACAGG
rnacentral:rRNA from 1 species